rnacentral:rRNA from 1 species
GACGAACGCUGGCGGCGUGCUUAACACAUGCAAGUCGAACGGAAAGGCCCUGCUUUUGUGGGGUGCUCGAGUGGCGAACGGGUGAGUAACACGUGAGUAACCUGCCCUUGACUUUGGGAUAACUUCAGGAAACUGGGGCUAAUACCGGCUAGGAGCUCCUGCUGCAUGGUGGGGGUUGGAAAGCUUCGGCGGUUGGGGAUGGACUCGCGGCUUAUCAGCUUGUUGGUGGGGUAGUGGCUUACCAAGGCUUUGACGGGUAGCCGGCCUGAGAGGGUGACCGGCCACAUUGGGACUGAGAUACGGACCAGACUCCUACGGGAGGCAGCAGUGGAGAAUAUUGCACAAUGGGCGGAAGCCUGAUGCAGCAACGCCGCGUGCGGGAUGACGGCCUUCGGGUUGUAAACCGCUUUCGCCUGUGACGAAGCGUGAGUGACGGUAAUGGGUAAAGAAGCACCGGCUAACUACGUG